GCUGGUUCUCUCCGAAAACUAUUUAGGUAGUGCCUCAAGUAUCACCGACGGGGGUAAAGCACUGUUAUGGCUAGGGGGUCAUCGCGACUUACCAAACCAUUGCAAACUCAGAAUACCGUUGAGUGCGAGCUUGGGAGACAGACAUCGGGUGCUAACGUCCGGUGUCAAGAGGGAAACAACCCAGACCGCCGAUUAAGGUCCCGAAGACAUAGUUAAGUGGGAAACGAGGUGGGAAGGCUUAGACAGCCAGGAGGUUGGCUUAGAAGCAGCCAUCCUUUAAAGAAAGCGUAAUAGCUCACUGGUCGAGUCGUCCUGCGCGGAAGAUGUAACGGGGCUCAAACUAUGCACCGAAAUCGCGGAUAUCCGCAAGGAUAUGGUAGGAGAGCGUUCUGUAAGCCGAUGAAGGUGUCUUGAGAAGGAUGCUGGAGGUAUCAGAAGUGCGAAUGCUGACAUGAGUAGCGAUAAAGGGAGUGAAAAGCUCCUCGCCGAAAGCCCAAGGUUCCUGCGCAACGUUCAUC
rnacentral:rRNA from 1 species